rnacentral:rRNA from 1 species
GAUGAACGCUAGCGGCAGGCCUAAUACAUGCAAGUCGAACGGUGUCUUCGGACAUAGUGGCGCACGGGUGCGUAACACGUAUGCAACCUACCUUACAUUGGGGGAUAGCCUUUCGAAAGGGAGAUUAAUACCGCAUAAGACAGUAGCUGGGCAUCCAGCAGCUGUUAAAGAUUUAUCGAUGUAAGCUGGGCAUGCGUCCAAUUAGCUAGUUGGUGAGGUAACGGCUCAACAAGGCAAUGAUUGGUAGGGGAACUGAGAGGUCAAUCCCCCAGAAUGGCGCUGAGCUCCAGGCCAGACUCCUACAGGAGGCAGCAGUAGGGAAUAUUGGGCAAUGGACGCAAGUCUGACCCAGCCAUGCCGCGUGCAGGAUGAAGGCUUUAUGCGUUGUAAACUGCUUUUAUACAGGAAGAAACGACUCUUGCGAGAGGCAUUGACGGUACUGUAUGAAUAAGCACCGGCUAACUCCGUGCCAGCCGCCGCCGUAAUAC